CUAACGGCGAAGAAGGAGAAGAGGCCCCUGAACUGCCCUCCAGAGAGGGAUGCCCUGGCUGGAAGCAUCCCGGGCGAUGGCAGGGAGCCGGACCACUCCGGAGCUGCCGGGCUGAAAAGUGAGUAAGCUCGGCCGGCUGGCUACCGUUAUAAGCCCUGGAGGGGGGAGCAUAUCCCCUGAAGAAGGGUGGAACCACGGGAAGAACUCUCGUCCCUUUU
rfam:Moorella glycerini strain NMP genome assembly, contig: M_glycerini_NMP_DRAFT_scaffold-62